ensembl:lncRNA
UCCAGCUCCAAAACUGGGAGCUACUGUCCUAAUGAGGAACCAACUUGUUCUGAGGAGCAUCUGAAUAAAGAGGGAACAGUUUUCUGUCUCAGUAAUGGGGAAGGGAAUGACCAACCAUUACAAGGACUUGUAAUACCGGGAAAACUACAGAUAAUCCUGAGGGUUGUCAUCUUCUCAUCCUCUCUACCACCAGAGCAAAGCUCUGUGGGCUCCCUGGAGAAGGAACUUGGAUUUCUCCUGCACAAGCCUGGGAUGGAAAAUUGGAUGGUUCUGUUCUAACCUUCACCCUGAUCAACCUGAUCCAUCCGUUCUCAGAAAGCUGUAAGGCUCUUGCUUAAAUACUUUGCAACUUCAGGAUCCCUGGAGUCUCUGCAGCCUAAAGAAGUGGGACAUUGAGGGGCUUUUUCCCACCUGUGCAGGACUGGCACCCUGGGGGGAUGCAGAGAGAGCUGACGUUGUUAUUGUUGUGGCUGGGGAGUACUAUUCUUCCUGCUGCAGUCUGCAUAAAGCCAGGCUGUAUUUCUGUGAGCAACAAGAUCUUCUUUGAGAACACAAAGACACAAGGACACAGGAAAGAGAACAAGUCGAAAAUUGAGAAAGAUGGAAUAGAAAAGAUUAAGAAUCUGUGAUUUACAGAACUACACAAUGAGUGUCAGAAAUAAAGGAGCCUGGAGUUUUAUAAGAUUAUCUGAAUUCAUUUGAGAAGCAAUACAAGAAGAGAAGCUUUGUAGCUCUAGAGACGAUUUUCCCUCAACUUUUUAUAUCUAUUCAAAUGUCUAGUGUGUGGAUUUGUCAAGCUUUAAAGGCUAGCAGACUUGGCAAUCUAAUUCUUUUAUCUGCAAGCCAGGUAGGGCACAGGCAGCUACCCAACUUUCCCAUAUUUCCCUGCCAACAUUUUCACUUUACACUUGAAGGGACUUGGUGCGCAGGGUACAUCGAGAUGCAGCCUUUGUGUUUGUUCUGCUCUGUAGCAGAGACAGACAAAGAUGCCAAUGAUGUGUGAGGAUUACGGAAAAGGCUGACCCUUUGUUUGCUUCCAAAUGAGCUGAGAAGAUCCAAGAAACAGCAUUAAGCAGCACAAGCUGAACCUGGCCUGGGAAACAAGAGCUGGGGAAAUGACUGGUAACUGGUUUGUGCAGAGUGAGUGCAGAAGGGACCCAUCCUGAUUCCUUGCCCUGAACAUCCACCUGGAACAUAAACACGUGAAACUAAUAACAAGAUGCUUCCCUCACCUCAAUCCCAGCUCUCUGUCUUCCAUGUUGUCCUCACUCACCCAGCCUUUACAUCAGGAGGGUGUAAAUCCUUCUGCUGCGGUGCAUCUCGCUCUCCAAAGGAGAGACAUGACUGGUGCAGAGGCAAUAUCCUGCUUUUAGAUGGCUAACGCCAGGGGAGCCAAAUUCAGCCUCUAGAGAGUAUAAUAUGUCCCCAUUAAGGGUAUAGGCAGGGUCUCAUUUUGUGUAUGUUCCCAGUCAAGACAUCUCUAGGUCAGAAGCUGUGUAACAGUGCUAAUGUAAUGCUGUGCCUGAACUAUUAAUCCCAGCACUGUGGGUGAUAAAGGCACAUCCCAGCAUGCCUGUGAUGGAGUAAGGAACUGAGACUGCAUUUCUUUUCUUUUAACUGAGCAUUCCAAGUUAUCUAAUUCCCUUUCAGACUUAAAUAUGCAUUCUUGUUGUCUGCAAGAAAAAAAAAAAAACAAUAUCUGAAGAUAUUUU